rnacentral:rRNA from 1 species
AUUGAACGCUGGCGGCAUGCCUUACACAUGCAAGUCGAACGGUAACGGGCCCUCGGGUGCCGACGAGUGGCGAACGGGUGAGUAAUACAUCGGAACGUGCCCGAUCGUGGGGGAUAACGAGGCGAAAGCUUUGCUAAUACCGCAUACGAUCUACGGAUGAAAGCAGGGGACCGCAAGGCCUUGCGCGGACGGAGCGGCCGAUGGCAGAUUAGGUAGUUGGUGGGAUAAAAGCUUACCAAGCCGACGAUCUGUAGCUGGUCUGAGAGGAUGAUCAGCCACACUGGGACUGAGACACGGCCCAGACUCCUACGGGAGGCAGCAGUGGGGAAUUUUGGACAAUGGGCGCAAGCCUGAUCCAGCCAUGCCGCGUGCAGGAUGAAGGCCUUCGGGUUGUAAACUGCUUCUGUACGGAACGAAAAGCCUUCUUUUAAUACAGGAGGGUCAUGACGGUACCGUAAGAAUAAGCACCGGCUAACUACGUG